rnacentral:lncRNA from 10 species
UCCAGAUCAAUAAAUGUCCACAGGACAAAAGCAGUGCCAACUGUGGGGCUCACCUUCCUGGAUUCCUGUCUUCUUCCUAGAUCUUGGUCCGUGAAACAACCUAGUGAGAUCCAGUACAGCUUCCAACUUAUAUUAGACCAACUUUCCUCCCUAUGACAUUAAUAGCUGGGGUAUGGAGCUGUCAGAGUGACACGUAAACUCCAAUCAGAUCACCAAGUGGCCUCAGAAAUGCACACAUACAAGGUAAGACUGCAAGAAACUUAGAAACAAGAGCUAGAAGGCUAAAAGAGCUGAAUAGAGAUUUUGGUGGGUGCCC